GACGAACGCUGGCGGCGUGCCUAAUACAUGCAAGUCGAGCGCAGGAAACUGACGGAACUCUUCGGAGGGAAGGCAGCGGAAUGAGCGGCGGACGGGUGAGUAGCACGUAAGGAACCUGCCUCAAGGAUUGGGAUAACUCCGAGAAAUCGGAGCUAAUACCGGAUAGUUCAUCGGACCGCAUGGUCCGUUGAUGAAAGGCGCUUCGGCGUCACCUUGAGAUGGCCUUGCGGUGCAUUAGCUAGUUGGUGGGGUAACGGCCCACCAAGGCGACGAUGCAUAGCCGACCUGAGAGGGUGAUCGGCCACACUGGGACUGAGACACGGCCCAGACUCCUACGGGAGGAAGCAGUAGGGAAUCUUCCACAAUGGACGAAAGUCUGAUGGAGCAACGCCGCGUGAGUGAUGAAGGUUUUCGGAUCGUAAAACUCUGUUGUAAGGGAAGAACACGUACGAGAGGGAAUGCUCGUACCUUGACGGUACCUUACGAGAAAGCCACGGCUAACUACGUGCCAGCAGCCGCGGUAAGAC
rnacentral:rRNA from 1 species